rnacentral:rRNA from 1 species
GAUGAACGCUGGCGGCGUGCCUAAUACAUGCAAGUCGAGCGAACAGAUGAGGAGCUUGCUCCUCUGACUUUAUCGGCGGACGGGUGAGUAACACGUGGAUAACCUACCUAUAAGACUGGGAUAACUUCGGGAAACCGGAGCUAAUACCGGAUAAUAUAUUGAACCGCAUGGUUCAAUAGUUAAAGACGGUUUUGCUGUCACUUAUAGAUUGAUCCGCGCCGCAUUAGCUAGUUGGUAAGGUAACGGCUUACCAAGGCAACGAUGCGUAGCCGACCUGAGAGGGUGAUCGGCCACACGGGAACUGAGACACGGUCCAGACUCCUACGGGAGGAAGCAGUAGGGAAUCUUACGCAAAGGGCGAAAGCCUGACGGAGCAACGCCGCGUGAGUGAUGAAGGUCUUCGGAUCGUAAAACUCUGUUAUUAGGGAAGAACAAAUGUGUAAGUAACUAUGCACGUCUUGACGGUACCUAAUCAGAAAGCCACGGCUAACUACGUG